rnacentral:lncRNA from 1 species
GGCCUUAUGUUAGUCUACUUGAAUAAAAAGACAGUCAAUGAGGUCAGUUUCCAGGUUUGGGUAUUUUGAUUACCUUUCCCCUUAGUUGUUUUAAAUGAGCAAAGGAGUAAUGGGGUUUUCCACCACAUAAAAGAACAUCUAUGAGUCAUCAGUGUCCUGAGAAGCUAAACGUCCUACUAAGGAUCCUGCAAAGGGAAAACAGAAGAGGAACUUGCACUUUUUGAGGACUUUCUGUGUGCCAUAAGCCUAAGU